CCUACGGGUGGCUGCAGUGGGGAAUAUUGGGCAAUGGGCGCAAGCCUGAACCAGCAACGCCGCGUGCAGGAAGAAGGCUCUCGGGUUGUAAACCUCUUUUGAUAGGGAAGAGUAGAAGACGGUACCUGUCGAAUAAGCCACGGCUAACGACGUGCCAGCAGCUGCGGUAAUACGGAGGUGGCAAGCGUUGUCCGGAUUUACUGGGUGUAAAGGGCGUGUUGCCGGGUUGACAAGUCAGAUGUGAAAUCCUGCGGCGUAACCGCAGAACUGCAUUUGAGACUGUCGGUCUUGAGUUCAGGUGAGGCAGACGGAAUGCAUGGUGUAGCGGUGAAAUGCGUAGAGAUUA
rnacentral:rRNA from 1 species